UACGUAGGCAGCGAGCGUUGUUCGGAAUUACUGGGCGUAAAGAGUGUGUAGGCGGUGCUCUAAGUUCGGUGUGAAAUCUCCUGGCUCAACUGGGAGGGUGCGCCGGAAACUGGAGUGCUUGAGCGUGGGAGAGGAAAGCGGAAUUCCUGGUGUAGCAGUGAAAUGCGUAGAUAUCGUGAGGAACACCAGAGGCGAAGGCGGCUACCUGGACAAUUGCUGACGCUCAGGCACGAAAGCGUGGGGAGCAAA
rnacentral:rRNA from 1 species